rnacentral:rRNA from 1 species
CAGUAGCCACGGGAAUACGUAGGUGGCAAGCGUUGUCCGGAAUUAUUGGGCGUAAAGGGCUCGCAGGCGGUUUCUUAAGUCUGAUGUGAAAGCCCCCGGCUCAACCGGGGAGGGUCAUUGGAAACUGGGAAACUUGAGUGCAGAAGAGGAGAGUGGAGUUCCACGUGUAGCGGUGAAAUGCGUAGAGAUGUGGAGGAACACCAGUGGCGAAGGCGACUCUCUGGUCUGUAACUGACGCUGAGGAGCGAAAGCGUGGGGAGCGAACAGGAUUAGAUACACCCGUAGUCCCUGUCUCUUAUAC